rnacentral:rRNA from 1 species
GACGAACGCUGGCGGCGUGCUUAACACAUGCAAGUCGAACGGAAAGGCCUGCUUUCCCUUGUGGAUUGCGGGUACUCGAGUGGCGAACGGGUGAGUAACACGUGAGUGAUCUGCCCCCAACUUGGGUAUAAGCCUGGGAAACUGGGUCUAAUUCCCGAUAGGACUGCAGGGUGGUGCCUGUGGUGGAAAACGAUUUUCUAGUGGUUGGGGAUGAGCUCGCGGCCUAUCAGCUUGUUGGUGGGGUAAUGGCCUACCAAGGCGGCGACGGGUAGCCGGCCUGAGAGGGUGGACGGCCACAUUGGGACUGAGAUACGGCCCAGACUCCUACGGGAGGCAGCAGAGGGGAAUAUUGCACAAUGGGCGGAAGCCUGAUGCAGCGACGCCGCGUGGGGGAUGACGGCCUUCGGGUUGUAAACUCCUUUCGACCGCGAGGAAGCCACCUGGUUGGAAGGGUGGUGACGGUAGUGGUAGAAGAAGCACCGGCUAACUACGUG